GACGAACGCUGGCGGCGUGCUUAACACAUGCAAGUCGAGCGGUAAGGCCCUUUCGGGGGUACACGAGCGGCGAACGGGUGAGUAACACGUGGGUGACCUGCCCUCAGCUCUGGGAUAAGCCUGGGAAACCGGGUCUAAUACUGGAUAUGACUCCAUGACGCAUGUUGUGGGGCGGAAAGCCUUGUGCGGCUGAGGAUGGGCCCGCGGCCUAUCAGCUUGUUGGUGGGGUGANGGCCUACCAAGGCGACGACGGGUAGCCGGCCUGAGAGGGCGACCGGCCACACUGGGACUGAGACACGGCCCAGACUCCUACGGGAGGCAGCAGUGGGGAAUCUUGCGCAAUGGGCGAAAGCCUGACGCAGCGACGCCGCGUGAGGGAUGAC
rnacentral:rRNA from 1 species